UAUGCUUUAGUAUAUGAUGUACAGGAGAUUUUGAUUUUUCAGGAAGUAGUUUGACUCUAUUAAGUAUAA
rnacentral:tRNA from 1 species